CUCUGUUCACGGAAAGGGCCUGGGAGCUGCAACACCUCAACAGCAACAAGCACACCUGCUACCUAGAACUUGGUUUCUAAAAACCAUCCUCCUCUAAAAGGAAACAGAGCUCUUUGAAGAAACGGUAAUUUCAAAGCUAGAGCACAGAAAGUAUAAGAUGAGCCCAGAAUAUCUUUUUGUACAAGAAAGUAAGGCAAUGCUCAAAGAAUGAUGGAGACAUGCCCAAAAAAAGCAGAGAAGCCAACUUGAAAAGAUUCCAACAGGCCAAAUAUGGGGCGAUUUGAACAUCAGAAUAAAAUGGUGACAGUCACAGAAUUAUAACCCAGUGAAGAAAGGAAUUCAUGACAUCAUAUUAAUAUAAAUAAUAAUUGAAUAUUGAAAUUCGUUAAAGGAAAUGAGAUAUUUAUGUAGUCUUAAGGUAUCUUCUCACAAAUUAUGUAUUACUUACAAAGGGGAAAAGUGCACCUUGACGUGAGAAUCUUGGCAGAACUACUUUAAUCAAGAGGUUUAGUUGAGCAUUAUCAGUAACAGAGUAAAUCAAAAUCAUAAGCCACUUGAUAGAUACAAUGAGAAAAUAAAGCAUCACUUCUGUGACACCCUAUAAAAAA
ensembl:lncRNA LINC01409 long intergenic non-protein coding RNA 1409